UUAGUACUCCCUCUGUCCGGAAUUACUUGUCCACAAAUGGAUAAAAGUAAAUGUAUCCAGAACUAAAAUAUGUCUAGAUACAUCCAUUUCUAUGACAAGUAUUUCCGGACGGAGGGAGUAUGUC
rfam:Triticum aestivum genome assembly, contig: Triticum_aestivum_CS42_TGACv1_scaffold_000328_1AL